rnacentral:rRNA from 1 species
GAUGAACGCUAGCGGCAGGCCUAACACAUGCAAGUCGAGGGGUAACAGGGGAGCUUGCUCUUGCUGACGACCGGCGCACGGGUGAGUAACGCGUAUGGAAUUUACCUUAAACUAGGGGAUAGCCCAGAGAAGUUUGGAUUAAUACCCUAUAGUAUCUAUGGGAGGCAUCUUUUAUAGAUUAAAGAUAUAUUGGUUUAAGAUAAUCAUGCGUCCUAUUAGCUAGAUGGUGAGGUAAAGGCUCACCAUGGCUGUGAUAGGUAGGGGUUCUGAGAGGGAUGUCCCCCACACUGGUACUGAGACACGGACCAGACUCCUACGGGAGGCAGCAGUGAGGAAUAUUGGACAAUGGGCGGAAGCCUGAUCCAGCCAAGUCGCGUGCAGGAAGAAGGUCUUAUGGGUUGUAAACUGCUUUUAUAUGGGAAGAAUAGUUUCUUGCGAGGGACGAUUGACGGUACCAUAUGAAUAAGGAUCGGCUAACUCCGUGCCAGCCGCCGCCGUAACAC